rnacentral:rRNA from 1 species
AUUGAACGCUGGCGGCAUGCCUUACACAUGCAAGUCGAACGGUAACGGGCCUUCGGGUGCCGACGAGUGGCGAACGGGUGAGUAAUACAUCGGAACGUGCCCGAUCGUGGGGGAUAACGAGGCGAAAGCUUUGCUAAUACCGCAUACGAUCUACGGAUGAAAGCAGGGGACCGCAAGGCCUUGCGCGGACGGAGCGGCCGAUGGCAGAUUAGGUAGUUGGUGGGAUAAAAGCUUACCAAGCCGACGAUCUGUAGCUGGUCUGAGAGGAUGAUCAGCCACACCUGGACUGAGAAACGGCCCAGACUCCUUACGGAGGCAGCAGUGGGGAAUUUUGGACAAUGGGCGCAAGCCUGAUCCAGCCAUGCCGCGUGCAGGAUGAAGGCCUUCGGGUUGUAAACUGCUUUUGUACGGAACGAAAAGCCUUCUUUUAAUACAGGAGGGUCAUGACGGUACCGUAAGAAUAGGCACCGGCUAACUACGUG